UACGUAGGGGGCAAGCGUUGUCCGGAAUCAUUGGGCGUAAAGCGCGUGUAGGCGGACUGGAAGGUCUGGUGUGAAAGCCCGGGGCUCAACCCCGGAGGGUCACUGGAAACCGACAGUCUCGAGUCCGGAAGAGGAGAGUGGAAUUCCUGGUGUAGCGGUGAAAUGCGCAGAUAUCAGGAGGAACACCAACGGCGAAGGCAGCUCUCUGGGACGUUACUGACGCUGAGACGCGAAAGCGUGGGGAGCAAACAGG
rnacentral:rRNA from 1 species